rnacentral:rRNA from 1 species
AGUGGGGAAUAUUGCACAAUGGGCGCAAGCCUGAUGCAGCCAUGCCGCGUGUGUGAAGAAGGCCUUCGGGUUGUAAAGCACUUUCAGCGAGGAGGAAAGGUUGCUGGUUAAUACCCAGCAGCUGUGACGUUACUCGCAGAAGAAGCACCGGCUAACUCCGUGCCAGCAGCCGCGGUAAUACGGAGGGUGCGAGCGUUAAUCGGAAUUACUGGGCGUAAAGCGCAUGCAGGCGGCCAAGUCAGUCAGAUGUGAAAGCCCCGGGCUCAACCUGGGAACUGCAUUUGAUACUGCUUGGCUAGAGUCUGGUAGAGGGGGGUAGAAUUUCAGGUGUAGCGGUGAAAUGCGUAGAGAUCUGAAGGAAUACCAGUGGCGAAGGCGGCCCCCUGGACCAAGACUGACGCUCAGAUGCGAAAGCGUGGGGAGCAAA